AAAAAAAAAAACAAAAAAAAGAGUUGACUUUAGGAAAGACAUUCAGGGUUCGUUUUGUUCGAAAAUUAGUAAAAACUAGUUAUUCUAUAAAUUUUUAUAAGAAUAAAAAUUUUUUUUAUUUGGAUGAAAAUAUGAGUAUAAACUGGAACUAAAAAAAUUGUGUUUGAAUGAUUCUUGGGAAUAAGAGAAAUAGUUGAUGGUUAUAAAUAAAAAAUAAUGAUAUUAUUCCUAUAAUUGAAUUUAAAUUUUUAAAUUUUAAACUUAUAAUUUUAAAUUGAAAAUUUUAACUUUUAAAUUUUAAAAUUUGAAAUUAAAUUUAAAAUUUAAAUAUUCAAAUUUUUCAAUUUUAAAUUUUAAUUUUUAAAUUUGAGACCAAAUUUAAAUUUAAAAUAUAUAAAAUAUCAAAUUUAAAAUUUAUAAAUUUAUAAUAUCAAUUUUAAAUUUUAAAUUUUAAAAUUUAGAAUUUACAAUUUACAAUUUACAAUUUUAAUUUUAAA
rnacentral:lncRNA from 1 species